GACGAACGCUGGCGGCGUGCUUAACACAUGCAAGUCGAACGGAAAGGCCUCUUUCGGGGGGUACUCGAGUGGCGAACGGGUGAGUAACACGUGAGUAACCUGCCCUUGACUUUGGGAUAACUUCAGGAAACUGGGGCUAAUACCGGAUAGGAGCUCCUGCUGCAUGGUGGGGGUUGGAAAGUUUCGGCGGUUGGGGAUGGACUCGCGGCUUAUCAGCUUGUUGGUGGGGUAGUGGCUUACCAAGGCUUUGACGGGUAGCCGGCCUGAGAGGGUGACCGGCCACAUUGGGACUGAGAUACGGCCCAGACUCCUACGGGAGGCAGCAGUGGGGAAUAUUGCACAAUGGGUGGAAGCCUGAUGCAGCAAAGCCGUGUGCGGGAUGACGGCCUUCGGGUUGUAAACCGCUUUCGCUCAUGACGAAGCUUUGUGUGACGGUAGUGGGUAAAGAAGCACCGGCUAACUACGUG
rnacentral:rRNA from 1 species